UUCCCAUGUUGAGGACACUUCCUUAAGUACUCCUUAUACCACUCCUAUACUUUGUACAAGGUUUCAGACUCCAUCUGCCAAAAAGAAGAUAUGUCAUUUCUGAGCUU